rnacentral:lncRNA from 1 species
GGUCCUUCCUACGAAUUAGCCACCUCGUAAAAUACCUACGAUUUUCCCCAGUUCACGAUUUUAUUUUUUUGCAUUUCGCAUCGUGCAUUUGAGCGUGUUUGUGGAGAGGAAAACAAUCCCCAUAAUUGACUGUUUUCUGAGUAACUCCAGUAAGUUGCUCUCUGUGUUGAUUUUUAGUUGUAUGUAGAGGGCGGGACUCGAACUGAAAGGAACAAGGCGCGGCCAAGAACCCCUUCACACGUGUAGACAAAGAGACCAUCAACACAACCCAAACAUGCUGGAAAAGUUUUCCCGCGCGCUACCUCACGCCAGGACCUCGCGAAGCGCCCAGUGCAUCUGUAGAUGGCAGGUCAGACGUGUGCGAUGCAUCUGGACACUCAAGCUGUGCUGAAAUAUCGCUCUCGCUCAGCUGAGAGUUCAGGAGUCACAUCAGGACACUCUGAGGCACAGAAACGGUUGCUCGUUCCACCAGCGGUUCACUUCUCUUUGUUUGCACGUGCAUCAGGAAUCUGCAGUCUACAUCUGACACACCUCAGAUUAGUCACUUUUCAUCAGAAUAAAACGACGAGCAGUGUCAGACACCUACUGACCUCAAAGUGACCAGCCUGAGUGAAACAGAGCUCAGUAAAUGACAUCAUUCAUGAGACUAAAGCAGGUGCUGAUCAUCUUAAAGGGACAGUGCGACUCAAAAAUGAUCAUCAUAUACUCAUGUUGUUCGAAACCAUUUUGAGUUUCUCUGCUCUGUGGAACAUGAAAGAAGAUAUUAUAAGUCAGUGGUACCCAAAUGGUGACCAAAACAGUUUGGUUACCAGCGUUCUUCAAAAUAUAUUCUUUUUUGUUCUGUAGUAUACAGUUUGGGAUAUUUUCAUUUUUGGGUGAACUGUCCCUUUAAGAGACCUAUUACUAAGCUCCACCCUUCUUGAAAAUUUAUUGUUCAGUAAAAAUGUGCCUAAAGUGGUAAACAUGGAUGAUACAUCCUUCCUUUCUGGACUGAAGUGAACUGUGACAAUGCAAAGCAUUUUGUAUGUUUUUCUUUAAAGAAGUUACACCGUAACAUGAAUCAGAAUGUCACUGAAAGGAGAAACGCC